rnacentral:rRNA from 1 species
GAUGAACGCUGGCGGCGUGCCUAAUACAUGCAAGUCGAGCGAACGGACGAGAAGCUUGCUUCUCUGAUGUUAGCGGCGGACGGGCGAGUAACACGUGGAUAACCUACCUCUUAGACUGGGAUAACUUCGGGAAACCGGAGCUAAUACCGGAUAAUAUUUUGAACCGCAUGGUUCAAAAGUGAAAGACGGUCUUGCUGUCACUUAUAGAUGGAUCCGCGCUGCAUUAGCUAGUUGGUAAGGUAACGGCUUACCAAGGCAACGAUGCAUAGCCGACCUGAGAGGGUGAUCGGCCACACUGGAACUGAGACACGGUCCAGACUCCUACGGGAGGCAGCAGUAGGGAAUCUUCCGCAAUGGGCGAAAGCCUGACGGAGCAACGCCGCGUGAGUGAUGAAGGUCUUCGGAUCGUAAAACUCUGUUAUUAGGGAAGAACAUAUGUGUAAGUAACUGUGCACAUCUUGACGGUACCUAAUCAGAAAGCCACGGCUAACUACGUG